CACGUAGGCACCAAGCGUUGUCCGGAUUUAUUGGGCGUAAAGAGCUCGUAGGCGGUUCGGUAAGUCGGGUGUGAAAUCCCUGGGCUCAACCCAGGAAGUGCACCCGAUACUGCUGUGACUUGAGUUCGGUAGGGGAGUGCGGAAUUCCUGGUGUAGCGGUGGAAUGCGCAGAUAUCAGGAGGAACACCAAUGGCGAAGGUAGCACUCUGGGCCGAAACUGACGCUGAGGAGCGAAAGCGUGGGGAGCGAACAGG
rnacentral:rRNA from 1 species